rnacentral:lncRNA from 1 species
AUGGGAAAGAUUGACUCACGAGAGAUUGGAGAGGUAGAUUCGCACGGUGAUAGUGCAAGCAGCUUGCUUCUAAUUAAAUAUGCGACUGAGUCUCAAAGCAUUUGCUUUCAGCCGCAGAGAGAAGAAGCUGCCCAAGAAUGGGAAGGAAGAAAUAUAUCAUCAUCUGUCUGUCCACAGGCUUUCCUUUGGGCUUAUGGAGAUUUCCUAGUGGUAAUUAUUUCCCACUGACUCAGAUGGAAGGACAGCGUGGAUGCCUGACAGACAGUAAGUUUAUGCCUUGUUUUUGUUAUUUGUAUUUCAAGAUUAACUGGAGAAGCUGAAACUGUUUGAUUAAUCGCAAAUUCUAUAUUGUAAGCAUUAAUGCUGUACAACUGUAUGAAUCUAUUAAUGUGAGAUAUUGCAGAUGUAAUUUAGCUCUUCUUAUCUCCCUGUUACUUACCGUAACUGUUUAGGCAGAUACUGAUAACUGUAUUGUUCUAUCCUGAAGAUAAUGCAGCCUAUUAAAUAAACACUGAUUUAUAUGUCA